CCUACGGGGGGCAGCAGUGGGGGAUAUUGCACAAUGGGGGGAACCCUGAUGCAGCGACGCCGCGUGGGUGAAGAAGCGCCUCGGCGCGUAAAGCCCUGUCAGCAGGGAAGACAAUGACGGUACCUGAAGAAGAAGCCCCGGCUAACUACGUGACAGCAACCGCGGUAAUACGUAGGGGGCAAGAGUUAUCCAGAUUUACUGGGUGGAAAGGGGGCCCAGACGGCGUUGCAAGCAAGGAGUGAAAGCCCGGGGCCCAAACCCGGGAAUGCUGUUGGAACUGCGUGGCUGGAGUGCAGGAGGGGCAGGCGGAAUUCCUGGUGUAGCGGUGAAAUGCGUAGAGAUCAGGAGGAACACCGGUGGCGAAGGCGGCCUGCUGGACUGCAACUGACGUUGAGGCCCGAAAGCGUGGGGAGCAAACAGGAUUAGAUACCCGUGUAGUC
rnacentral:rRNA from 1 species